GUGUCAGCAGCCGCGGUAAGACGAACCGUGCGAACGUUGUUCGGAAUCACUGGGCUUAAAGGGCGCGUAGGCGGGCGUCGGGGUCCGGGGUGAAAUCUUUCGGCUCAACCGGAAAAGGGCCUUGGAUACCGGACGCCUGGAGGGAGGUAGGGGCACGCGGAACUUCCGGUGGAGCGGUGAAAUGCGUUGAUAUCGGAAGGAACGCCGGUGGCGAAAGCGGCGUGCUGGACCUCUGCUGACGCUGAGGCGCGAAAGCCAGGGGAGCGAACGGGAUUAGAUACCCCGGUAGUCCUGGCCCUAAACGAUGGGUACUAGCUUGUGGACUGGACAUGGGUUCACAGGCGAAGCCAAAGUGGUAAGUACCCCGCCUGGGGAGUAUGGUCGCAAGGCUGAA
rnacentral:rRNA from 1 species